UGGAAGAGAUGUUAUCAUCUCUAUUUUCCUACCAAUUAAGAUAAAAUCAAAUACAAUUAAAAUAAAAGAAAAUUAUCAAAAAGGGGGAACUUACCAUUUUUUCCUUAGGCUAUUUUGGCUAGGUUAGAAUAAAGAGGGAAGGAGAAAGGGAAGAGAACCAUUUUCCAUGGUGGCUGCCGAAACUUAGAGAGAGAGAAAGAGAGAAAGAUAGAAUGAAUGUGACAAGAGAGAGAGAGAGAGAGAGAGGAAGAAAAAAUAGUAGGAAGAAGAAGAAGGUCUUGGAGAGUCAUAGGUAGCAAAUAGGACUUCUUUGUGGCACGCGUGGUGAUGUGGGAAGUUCCAACGUCGGGGUGUGUAUGGUGUGGGGGCAUUCCAUGGAUGAGAAAACGAUCAAUUUAACGCCAAUUUCUAAGAAUAAUGUUAUGUUUAUUUUUAACUUUCAGAACUUAUCAGUAAGACUUGAACUUUAAUUAUUUUUAAAAUGUUGCAUGAAAACUAUUAUUUUCCUUUUAAACUGUUGGGCCCAACUUGCAUGUUUUAGAAAGGCCUCACUGUGAUUUUUCUUCUAUAAGUUUAUGAGCAUGUAAAAGUUUUACAAAGUAUUAGACUAGAGUGAUUUACAAAUUGUAUCAGAGACGGUCGUCCAUGUUUCCAAGGACCUCCACAUACACACUAAAGACUAGAAAAUCUCACCUCACUGUGUCAGGAGAUGUCUCAGCCCAGGAACAAAGACCUGCGAGCUAUGUUCACCGGAGGGAACUCUUCCACUGGAGCCUCUGGGCCCAAAAUGAAGAAGCUCCGGGUGGCGAAGAAAGCCGCUGGGACCCCAACCAAGUCCCCUACAAAGGGGAAAGACCAGACCCCAGCUGUCCAGGCCAAGGUACCACCACCUCCGGCCGCAGUGGAGAAGAUGCCCCCGCCCCCUCCACGAGCUCCCGCCUUUGUUCGGGAUAUGGGGGCGGACCCCGGGAUUUUGACAAUCGCAGCCCUCGAGGUGCGCAUUCUGGUGGACCCCCAGGCCCUAGAGAAAAUUUCUAACGUCUUUCGGGGGACGGUGUACGAGACGGCGACCUACGACGUCGACCACAACUACGACACCACCGAAAAGGACCUGCGGGCGAUCGAAACAAGGAGCCCGGAGAGCGUGACGGAGUCUUCACUGGGAAUGGCUCUAACGGGUGCCUUGGCUCUUCACCGGAGCAUUUCCAGGUCCAAGGCUCGACUCGAGGACAUGAGGGGCAAGCAUCAGGCUGUUCUGGCCGCCCAGCAGACUACCUUGGCCUCCUUGAGGACGGCCCAAAAGUAGGAACAGGAGGCUAAGGAUGCCUUGGCGGCCGCACGGGUCGAGCUGGACGCGUUCCAUCCCAAGCUGCAAGAGGCUGAGGCUAACAAGGCCGCCCUAGCCACUGUAACAGCCGAACUCGAGGAGGCCAAGGCUGCCCGGGCCAUGCUAGACUCUGCCAAAACCGAGGCUGCUGGGGCCAAGGCCACCUUGGCAACGGAGAAGGCAGCUUCCAGCUCCGCCAUGGAGGACAUGCUAUACCACUGCUGGAUUUUCAAUCCAGAUGGCGACUUCUCCUUUCUAGGACCGGAUGUCUGGGAGCCCUUCCUGGAGGGGUUUAAAGCUCGUCUUCAGCAAGAGGCGCCCUCUGAGACCGGGGAGACCUCCACAGCGGCCGAGUAGGAGGGCGAGACGGCGACCUAUACAGAGCAGCCCGAUGGACCCUAGGGCCUUUCUUUUUCUUUUUUGAACACAUUAUUAUUUUAUUUUUUUUGUAACUUUUGUAUGAGGUUUUUUCACCUCGAGACAAUUGGCUUUAUCCAUUUUUUCUUUUAAUUGGUUUAUAUCUUUUUGUUGGUGCUAUGAUUGAUGCUUUUAUAUUUUUCUUAGAAAAAACAUGUUAACCAAUCUUGACCCAACUUCUAAGAUAAGUCAUGGUUGCACUCCGAACAUUGCAUUAAAAACUUAGUUCGCGUUAACCUCUUAUUGAUAUCUCAUGCUUUUUAAGAAAAACAACGAUCAAUCAAUUUGAAUUAACUUCUAAGUUUUAUGACCU